rnacentral:misc_RNA from 1 species
AGUAAACCUCUCCGAUUUCUUCCUCGCCAAUUUCUCCGCCAGCCAACUGGCAGCUAAACUCUUCUCCUCAUUAAUCUCUACUUGUAUCCGAUCCUCUAUUACUUCACUCUCACUUUCGAUAGUACUAUUCAAUUUCUCAUUCUCCAGCACAAAACAAACCGCCAAUCUCGGCUUUCUUCUAGACAGCAAAAUUGCGCCAAAAUUGCGAGUUAACGGAGAGAAGAACAGAACCGGCGGGGCGGUUGAGGCGGAUUUUGGACUGAGAAACGGGUUAUGACGGAGGCGAAUGGUUCGGGAACUAGCGGAGGCUGAAAUUCCGGCCGCCAUGGACGGUGGAGGAUCCAAAUUCAG